ensembl:lncRNA
UUUUUAUCCAGCAUUAGCAUUUAGCUGUAUUCAUGGUAAACAUUACCACAAUAUCUUAUUAAUAAUGGCAGUGAAAAUUUAUCAGCUCUAAUUCAUUUUGAAAUGAAAUAGAAACUAAAACGAGUAUUUAAGACCAUUUUCUUGGACACACAGCACGUGUACAUACUGAACUGCCUCAAAAUGUUCUGAAAAAUACAGGCAGUAUGAAAGCUCCCAAAAUUCCAACUCAACUGUGAAUAUGAACUUUUUUUUUUUCCCCAUAAAUGGUAAGCGCAGCAUAAAUAACAAGAAUAUGACACAGUAAGGGAAAAACAUUACUUCUUCUGUCUCCUUGUUGACAACUUCUGCUCCUUAAUCAGAGACAGAUCCCAUUCACAUAUUUAUCCCAAGGGCACUAUCCUCGCUCCUCGGCUUCCCAUCAGACACUACAGAUGACCUUCUAGUGCUCUGGAGCCGUGAUGGAGACACACUCAUUGCUUAAAAAUGCUGCAUGUUUGACAGAAAUACUGUGGAUUAAUCGAGCACCUUACCAGAUGUUACAUUGUUUACAGUCAACUUAAUAAUUCUAGAUAGCGAAGCGAUUAACGUUAGCUAGCUAGCUAAAAGACAGCAUGAGAACAAAACUUACCCUCAGGGUAUGUGUACUUUUAUGGUGUAUUUUGUUAUCUGAUCCAAUUCAUAUUUACGCUAACUAGCCAACAUUACCCUCCUAACUCGAUCUUUUCUAUAUUUCUGUGCUGUUUAUUAAAUACACUUACAGAUAACUUUUUAUCACGGGCAGGUCACUUCUUGACAUAUUCAGACCUUCUGAAGGCACUGGUCAAAUUUUCUAAUAUUAAUGUUGUUUUAUCUAACUUAUCUGAUGCUGCUCAACGUUAGAUAACAUUGACUACUGCAUACAGCUAGCUAUUAGCUAUUACUUACUAGCAGAAUAAUUAUGCUAAGGUGCUAAUGAAAUCUUUAACCUCUCCUUAAAAUUUUAUUUUGGGCUUUUUUUUUGUUGUUGUUGUUGUUGUUGUUUAUCGUAAUGUGAUCUUGAUUAUGAGAAAGAUAUUACAUUUGUUGGUUCGUUAUUUUAUGUGGUUUAAGACAGAUUAGUUUGCUGCAUAUUUACAGUUUAUGAAAAUUAACAAUGAAUAUCCAAGUUAUUGCAGAAACAACACCAGCAACAACACAACCGAGCAAAACGGAGACUACAAUCAGCCUUAGUUGAGCUCGUCUGGAUGUUUCUGCUGGAUCAGUCUGUCGGGAAAAGAGGCUGUUCAAAGGUCCAUCAUCUUCAUGAAAGAGGAUGUCCACAGCAAACACACCAUCCUUCUUCACAGACAGUUUGCUAUCUGGAGCAACGUAAUUUACAUCAAACGUGUGAUGGAACACCACGAGGACAACAGGCUGACUCGCUGGAAGAAAGAGAGGAAAAAGAAAUAACGUUGUGUUAAUUAGAAAAUAACUCAUACAGGAUACAGCCAGAGUGAAUCACAGAAGCUUUGAAACAUUAAAAAAAAAAAAGAGUAUGUGUUCAGGACUACACACCACCUUGCAUCAAAAGCAUUAGUUUGGUUGAUGCUAUAUCCUAAACCCAAACUUACCACCAUACUGUAGUGUGUAACCUAUGGUGGUGUUCUGUUUUGAAUACGAUCGCUAAUAUAGUAAUAAGUAAUAUUGAAUAUCACUCUGUACUCUCAAGCUUUUGAAGAGCAGAUUGUAUGUCCGUUCCAGCCCGAGACACGACAGGGACAAAAGCAAUGACAACGUCACACUCCUCCACUGAAUACACUUCACGGAGAUGAAGACGUUUUUGCAGUCGCUCAAUGAACUUGGUUUGGGCACCCAGAACAUUCCCAAGUACCAUGACGUAGAACGCCAGCGCAUUUGAUCC